CCUACGGGAGACAGCAGUGAGGAAUAUUGGUCAAUGGACGCAAGCCUGAACCAGCCACGCCGCGUGCAGGAAGACGGCUCUAUGAGUUGUAAACUGCUUUUGUACGAGAGUAAACGCAGACACGCGUACCUGUCUGAAAGUAUCUUAUGAAUAAGGAUCGGCUAACUCCGUGCCAGCAGCCGCGGUAAUACGGAGGAUUCAAGCGUUAUCCGGAUUUAUUGGGUUUAAAGGGAGCGUAGGUGGGCGGUUAAGUCAGUGGUGAAAUCCCGAGGCUCAACUUCGGAAUUGCCUUUGAUACUGUCCGGCUUGAGAGUAGUUGCGGUAGGCGGAAUGUGUGGUGUAGCGGUGAAAUGCUUAGAGAUCAUGCAGAACACCGAUUGCGAAGGCAGCUUACCAAGCUGCUUCUGACGUUGAGGCACGAAAGCGUGGGGAGCAAACAGGAUUAGAUACCCUGGUAGUC
rnacentral:rRNA from 1 species